rnacentral:rRNA from 1 species
CAGCCGCCGCGGUAAUACGUAGGCGGCAAGCGUUGUCCGGAAUUAUUGGGCGUAAAGGGAGCGCAGGUGGGACGGUAGUCCGUCUUAAAAGGCAGGGGCUCAGCCCCUGUAAGGGAUGGAAACUAUCGAUCUUGAGUGCCGGAGAGGAAAGCGGAAUUCCCAGUGUAGCGGUGAAAUGCGUAGAUAUUGGGAAGAACACCAGUGGCGAAGGCGGCUUUCUGGACGGCAACUGACACUGAGGCUCGAAAGCCAGGGGAGCGAACGGGAUUAGAUACCCCAGUAGUCCCUGUCUCUUAUACAC